CUAACGUUUAAACUGAACACAACCCAAAAUAAAUAAAAAUUGAAUGAAAAAAAAAAUAAAAGUCAAAUACACCAAUCGAGUCACUAACAACAUUAUACAUUUUCUUAUGUACUAAUUUAAUGUUUUAUUAAAUAAGUCUUUAAAUUUUUAUUUUUCUAUUAUUUUUUUAAAAAAAAAGAAAACAUUCUAUUUUAUAAAUUUCUUAUUUAUUUAAAAUUAAAAAUAAUAUUAAAUACUUUUUUUUUACAAUUUUGUUUAAGAUUUUAGAAAAAGAACAAUUAUUGUCAUAUAACCUAUUACAAUUAUCUUCUCUUUAGAAUUUCAGAAAAAAUAAAUUACUAUCAAAUAAUUAUUUUAGUUAUUAAUAAAUAAUUUUAAAUAAAUAUAUUUACAAUUCGUAUCGUACUAAUUUUAAACUUCUUUUGUUAAUUAAAUAAUAUUUAGUAUCAUGUUCAUCACCAAAUACUCUCUUAAGAAUAUUAUCAAAUAAAUUUUUACAAUUCUCUUUUGGUUAGGACUUGAAAAUAUGAUACAAAUUUCUUUUGUUUAGGAAUUUUUUUAUAAAAAAGGAAAAAAAAUAUUCUUUUACAGUUUUUAGGAUUUUAGAAAAGGAAAUUAAAAUUACAUAAUCUUUUACAAUGAUAUUUUGUCUAGGAUUUUGAAAUAUAAAAUUUCUAUCAAAUAACUAUUUCCAGUUAAUAUUAACUAUUUUUAAAAGUUCCCGUUUUCAAAAUUCGUGUUUUUAAUAUCAAUAAUAUUUUUUACAAUUUUUCUUUACAACUAAAUAAUUGUUACUAUCAUGUUUAUCAUUAAUUUUUAAGUAAUAAUUACUAUUAAAUAAAAUUUUACGGUUUUCUCUCGUCAGGAUUUACAGAAAAAAAAAAGAAGACAAAAAUCUUAAUUGGUUUUAUAAAGUUUUUAAGAAAACAUAAAAUUUUCUUAAAGUUUGAAUUUUUCUUUUUGUGUUUUAUAAGUUGAACAAUUUUACUUGAUUUUUUUUUUACAAAAAUUCGACUUUUAGUAUAAAAAAUUUAUAAAAAAAUGUUUGAAUAUAUUUUAGUUUUAGACAGAUUUAUAGUCAAGUCAAUUUUUUUUGGGAAAAUCCUUACAAAUAGGGAAAUUGCCACAAAUACCACUUUCAAUGUACCACUUUUCAUUAAUACCUUAACCAACUUUACCAUUAAAAUUCUAAUAGGCAAAAUAUAAUUAUACCCCUAUCUAAUUAAAACUACAACUAUUAUCUUCUUCUCCACUAUCCGAUAAUCAAUCCGACGAGAUCCGGUGAUUCUGACGAGUUUUCCGGCGAGCUUUGACAACGAAGACGAGUUCUCUUGUGAAAUCUGACGAUGCUGAUGAGUUCUCUGGCGAAACACGAAUGAGACGAUCUCUCUCCUGAUGCUGAUGAGUUUCCGGUGAGAUCUGACGACGCUAACGAGUUUUCCGGCGAGAUCUGACGAUGCCGAGAAGUUCUCCGGCAAAGCUGACAGACUCGACAAGCUCAGACGAACGAGACGAUCUCUCUCCUAACGCCUAAGAAACACUAACAAAGGUAAGAUGAUAGUAUAUGGUGAUUUUUGCCUCUUUCUGUAAUUUUAGCUUGAUUUAUCAAAAUCGAUAUGUUUCUAAGAAAGAAGACGAAGUUUUUCAAGUGAAGUUUUCAGAUCUCAAAUUUAUAAGAUCUUAUAAAUUGGGUCCUUUCAAAUCUUACUGUUGAUCUGUUAGCAAUCAAAAGACACAAAGCUUAACGUAAGAGUACAAUUAUUGAUUUGGUUGAUUUAUUGUCAUAGUUUUCAGAUUUAUAUAAUUAUUUAAUUCAUGAGAAGGUACUAACCUAAGAGUAUAAUUAUUCCAUUACUUCUUCUCUUGGUUGAUUUGGUGAUGUUGCAGAGAAUUACAAAUGUGUGUUGUCAGCUUUUGGAUUUAAAGGAUGUUGUGGAGAAUAUGUGUGGUGAUAUGCAUAUCUAAGUAUCUCACUUCCUUAAGAAGCAGUGGAGAUGAAGGAUGAGUUUGUUGAGUUACGAAAUCAUACUAUUUUUUAAUCUUAUUUUUGGAAGUGAAUGCUGAUGCGUAGAAAUAAUAUGUGACUGGCUUUUGCAGAUUUUGAAAAUUUACAAGGUUGGUGAGCUGUUUGAAGAGGCAAGAGAGACUCUGAAGAAGAAUGUGGUUUGUGCUAUCAAAGAAUUACGUAUUUAUAACGCUUUAUAAAAGUUGCAGAGUGGCUUCUUAGUACAUUCUUCUCUCUCAUCUUCUUUAGACAUCUCUUAUACUAAAACAAUUGUAUCUCUCCUUUAGUAGUUGCAUAGUUGAAGAUAUUAGUUGGACAUGUAAGUGAGUUUGGUUUCAAUUGUUUCUUUUAUAGAAGAGUGAGAUAUGGAGAAGCCUUGAUGUUCUCAGACUAUGUUAAAGCAAUAUAUCCCUUGUUGAAGGACGUGGCUCUUUCACCAGAUAUGUUUUUUUUGUGUUGAUUGUCUUUUGGAGGGAUUUUAGAAAAAUUACCUUAUAAGCCAUUGUAAAUAAAUUUAUAAACGCUUAUAAAUCACUUUGAGUUUCUUACACUCAUUCUGCCUAGCAUUCCUCACAAGACUUCUCAAGUUCAAACAUUUAUGUGUUUUGUAUAGACAUAUACAAUCAACUCUUGUUUAAAAACUUCUUAAUAAAAACUUAUAAAUCGUCGAGUUGUACUUUUAACAAUAGACUUAUAAAUAGCUUAUAUGUUCUUGUAAAUAGUUUAAUACACCCUUUUAAAUAGCUUUAUAAACCUGUAUAAAUAGUUAUAUACUUUUGUAAAGAGAUGAUGAUACGUGACAGAUUGUGAGGCACAUGAGGACAGCAAGCAAGACUCCACCGCUUCAGAAAUUUUACAUACUUUUAUAAAUUAUUUUAUAAUCCUUUAUAAUGGUGUAUAAACUUUAUAAAUUAUUUUUAUAAACCCUUAUAAAUUAUUUAUAUACUCUUAUAAACCCUUAUAUAUUAUUAUACAAACCAUUAUAAAUUGUUUUAUAAGGCUUUCAUAAAGUUUUUAUAAACCCUUAUUAAUAGUAUACAUACUUCUUAUAAAUUAUUUAUAAACUUUCAUAACUUUCUUAUAAACAUUUAUAAAUGAUUUAUAGAUCUUAUAGCUUGUUUUAUAUGUCUUUAUUAAUGGUUUAUAUACUCUUACAAAUAAUUUUACAUACCCUUAUAAGGCUUUGUAAAGAGAUGAUGAUACGUGACAGAUUCUAAGGCACAUGUGGACAGCAAGCACGGCUCCACCGCUU